UACAGAGGUCUCAAGCGUUGUUCGGAUUCAUUGGGCGUAAAGGGUGCGUAGGCGGCGCGGUAAGUCGGGUGUGAAAUCUCGGAGCUUAACUCCGAAACUGCAUUCGAUACUGCCGUGCUUGAGGACUGGAGAGGAGACUGGAAUUUACGGUGUAGCGGUGAAAUGCGUAGAUAUCGUAAGGAACACCGGUGGCGAAGGCGGCCCCCUGGACCGGUACUGACGCUGAGGCGCGAAAGCGUGGGUAGCAAACGGG
rnacentral:rRNA from 1 species